rnacentral:snoRNA from 12 species
UAGCUUUCUGUUGCCUGUUUACUUUCAAAACUAGUGAAUGUGGUGUCAAAAAUGUGUAAAUUAAACACUUAUCAGCAUUUUCCUGUUCUUAAAUUUGGUGUAGGAGCUGCGUAAGUAACAGUU